GCCUGCUCCCACACACGGAAGGCCCGGCGCACCGCCUCCAGCGAGUGGUACCAGCCCAGCUUCUCUGUGUAGUUCUGGAUGCUGCAGAUGGAAGCUGUGUCUAUGAGGACAGCCUACAGGAGCCCCUCCAGGAUGUACUGCACUGCACUGGCUCCUCCAGGAUGGCCCUCUACCAUUACAGGCAGACUGCUGGGGACCCUACAGGGUUCAGAACCUCUUGAGUUCUCACCAACCAGCCAUCCUGCCAGAUGUUUCUGAGCCAGGUGCCAUGCCAGCUGGAGGCUGUGAAGGACUAUGGCUGAGGCAUCCUGACCUCAGGGCUUACAGUCUCCCUGGGGAGACCCAGUGCCCCCACAGAGUGAGGAAUUCACACCUGCAAGACUGUGAGCAGGCAUGACCAUUGCAGUCAGAACCAGAGGACGGGAUCUCCAAUGAGAGAAGCUGAGCUAUGGUAAGACGGGGACUCAGCCCUGCCACCUUAUGCCCCUAAGCCCAUGAGAACAUGGUGACCACUGUGGGAGGCUGGUGAGCACAGAGGCCAGGGACUGCUGUGGGGGGCCUUGGCCACACAGAGGAGUAUCCUUUGAACCUUUUCUGGGUCUCUGAGGGCCCCCAGAGGGACCGGACCUGAAGGCCUGGUCUCUGAGAAGUUCUGGAAGGUGAGGGCUACACAUCAAGGGCCCACGAGACAGGAUGGUGACUGGACACACGGUGGCUGCUCUGGGCUGACAGCCAUGUGUCACAUCCAGCUCCUCAGCUACUUGUUUCCUCAAUGCCACCCACCAGCCCAGCCCUGGCAGCCGGCUAGGCCCCUGGUGUGGAAGAGCUGCCCACACAGCCGGGCCCAGCGACGCCCAGGCUGCCGCUAGAGGGAGUGAAUGCUGAGCCAAAGAGGGCAGCGCAGGGAAACUGCUAGAGCCUGUCGGUGCCCGGCCACAGGUUCAAGGCCCCUCAGGGCCCUGGGCAACAGUCAUAGAACAAUGAGGCAGAGACAGGGAGCUGAGGAACAACCACGGCUCUGGGGACAGGCAGAGCUGGGGACCAAUCCUGGCCCAGCCGUUUGGCCUUGCCGUGUGUGUGUGUGUGUGUGUGUGUGUGUGUGUGUGUGUGUGUGUGUGUGUGUGUGUGUGUGUGUGUGUGUGUGUGUGUGUGUGUGUGUGUGUGUGUGUGUGUGUGUGUGUGUGUGUGUGUGUGUGUGUGUGUGUGUGUGUGUGUGUGUGUGUGUGUGUGUGUGUGUGUGUGUGUGUGAUUCAGUCCAUAAAAGAGGGUUGUAUCGGGAUCUGCCUCACCUCCCAGGUUUCUGUGAGGAUGAAGUGGGGAAGCCAGAGGAGUGCUCGGCACUGUGCUGGGCAAAGCAAAGUGCUCAAUAAACGUAUGCUUAAUAGUAGAGGCCGGCCCUGCUGCA